rnacentral:ncRNA from 1 species
CUAACAUGUAUGCGAGUUGGCGGGUUGAAAACCCGUAAGCGCAAGUAACCUGACUGGUGGGAUGGCCUGUGCCUGCACCAUCGACCGACCAUGUUGCUUUUGCGAAAGGUUUGAGUGCGAGCAUACCUGUUGGGACCCGAAAGAUGGUGAACUAUGCCUGAGCAGGGUGAAGCCAGAGUAACCUCUGGUGGAGGCUCGUAGAUGUGCUGACGUGCAAAUCGCUUUUCAGACUUGGGUAUAGGGGCGAAAGACUAAUCGAACCAUCUAGUAGCUGG